rnacentral:rRNA from 1 species
UACGGGGGGAGCAAGCGUUGUUCGGAUUUACUGGGCGUAAAGGGCGCGUAGGCGGCCACCGCAAGUCGACUGUGAAAUCUCCGGGCUUAACCCGGAAAGGUCAGCCGAUACUGCGGGGCUAGAGUGCAGAAGGGGCAACUGGAAUUCUCGGUGUAGCGGUGAAAUGCGUAGAUAUCGAGAGGAACACCUGCGGCGAAGGCGGGUUGCUGGGCUGACACUGACGCUGAGACGCGAAAGCGUGGGGAGCGAACCGG